CACUGUGUUAACCUCAACCACUUCAGCUGGAAGGCUAUGCCAUGCAUCCACUACCCUCUCAGUAAAGUAAUACUUCCUGAUAUUAUUUUUAAACCUUUGCCCCUUUAAUUUAAGACUAAGUCCUAUUGUUGUGGUAGGUUUUCUUCUUUUAAAUAUAGUCUCCUUUACUGUGUUGAUUCCCUUUAUGCAUUUAAAUGUUUCUAUCAUAUCCCCCCUGUCUCGUCUUUCCUCCAAGAUAUACAUGUUAAGUUCCUUUAACCUUUCCUGGUAAGUUUUAUCCCCAUAUAUACAAAUGUAUAAGAGAGAUCUGACUUUUUUUUUCUCCAAGUGAAUAAUUAGUAAAUAUGUAUGAUUUACUAAAGAUUGAGUGUAUUUUUUAUUUUGAACAGGCAUCACAUCAGAGAAUUUAAAACAGAACAUGUAUUUAACCACAAAUGCCUUUGGACAUUUGUAAGCAAAUAUUAUGUGAAAUACAGCAUUUUGGUUGUUAUCGUAAAGGCCAAACCAUAAGGCAUAUAGUUGUAUUAAUAGGUCAUUGGUUAUAUUUUUCUCAGUGUCAUGCUUUCGUGUUUGAUCAUUCUCACUGAGAAUCACCAAAUAUAGUCAUCUGCAAUCUGAAUUAUCAGUGCUUUAGUGGCGACUUACCUUUAGUAAGGGCUCUUAAAGAUCUAAACACAUUUUAUAUAUUUUGGGCAAAGCAGUUUAUUUUAUAUAAACACAGAACUCUGUUCAUAUUUAAUUAGGGUAACAUCUUUGUGAAAUGCUCAUGAAAAGAUUGUGUUGGAAUUUCACUGAAGUUCUAACUCAGUCAAAAUAUAUCAUAAAGCAAAGUAAGGACUUCUUCGUCUUAUGUAUUUUUCCUAUGCUUGACAAAAAGGUGGAGCUACUGCUUUCAAAUUUUGCCAAGCCAUGGGGAAAAGGCUUUGUCUCUAGAGGCCCCUGAGGUCUGGCAAUAUCUUCCAUAAACAUUAGUGUUUUACUAUUGUGCAUGCACAAGAGUACAGCACUGAUGCUGGCUCCUUGCUGGCUCCUUGCUCGAGCUCCAAGCACUAGGAGCUGAAAAGGAUGCACCAGAUCAAGAUGGUGGCAGCUGCGAGGCAAGUAAGUAAAUAUACCUUCCACUACACCUCCGGGGGUCUAUGCGAAAAAUGUAAAAACCAAGUUGACAGAGUCGCUUCAAGAAAUUAUAAUCACAAAAAUAAUUAUUUUAGAUAACCUAAUCUUACAUAGACUUCAACGAAGGACAUACUAUUGUUGUAAAUAAGUCAAUUAUCCUGCCAGUUUAUAGAUUGAAACAAUUAUCAUUGUUGUUACUUAGAAAGAUACGUUGGACAUGUAGGAACAAAAAGGUGUUGAGGUCCCUGCCCUAACUAGUUGCCCUCUAUGGAGAGUGGGGUACAAUCGUACAAGAAAUUAAAACAAUCUAUAUACAGCUGGCUUUUUUUAAGUCUUUAAGCAAUAUACGCGGUUAUGGUUGGAUUUAUAUCACAUUUUUCCUUACACAUAUAGGCGAAAGGUGUACCCUCUUUCCUUAAGUUUAUCCAACUCUGGUAUACCCACAGCCUGCUUGUUUCUGGUGGGAUGGGGGUUGUAAAAAUGUUAUAAUUCAGUUAUUUUGUAAUUCACUGCAAUUUGAUGCUUAUUGCAAAUACUAUAAUGAUUUGUGGCUGCAAUUUAAUGGCACCCAGUUUUACAAAAUCACCAACCAAGUUAUCAAAUUUGGGGGGAAUAAUAAACCUGUAGCUUAUUUGCAAGAUAAUUAUUAACCCAUCUUGACAAACAGCUAGCGAAAAGAUCCCUUAAUUCUGUUCAUCUCUCGACCACAGAACCGUAUCGAGGAGACCAAUUGUAUAAAUUGUGUAAAUUACUUUUCCUAAUUUUCUGUAAGUACGUACAAUGUCUGCUUUUGCUGUAGUUAAAUUUAAAAAAGUGAUAAGCAUAAGAGAAUCAUUUUCAAGACCACAUGCUGGUAUGACCUUCCUGAAGGUUUUUCAAGCACUGAUGAGGCUCAUUUUUAUACAUGCUCCUGUUACCACAUCUGAAUACUAAAUGAAAACGCACGGAAAAGAAAAUCUCAAGUGGUAUACCUUUUUAAGUCGAGAAAGGCUUACCUAAUGGUAUUACAUGACUUCUCCUUGAAUGUUUUAAUGAUGAACAGAGCUUAAUGUACAGUAAGUUGCUGUACUUUCGAAAGAGAAUUCCAUUGAAUAAAUGUUGAUGUUUAAAUGUUGUAGGUGCUCUAUAGCACACAGCACACUGAGGUUUUGGAUGAUCAGAUACAUUUCUGCUCAUUAUAACAGCGGUAAUGUACGAUAAGUAAAAUAAAAUAUGCUGCAUAAUAUGAUCUAAGCUUCAAACAAGCAAUAUAAGAUUUGUCAAAACAAAUAAAUAAGAGGUGUAAUAAUGUACAUAUUGAGAAAGUAUGUAAUAAAUAUAAAAAAGUGUAUUAGUAAAAAAUGUAUUUAAAAAGACUUGACUACUGCUCUAGUGCCAUGUGUGGUUUAAACAGGUCAAAUAAAUAUAGAGACAUAUGUAUAUGCCACAGACAUUUUGUACUAUGAUCAUUUUAUUUUAUCGUUACAGACAUUGUUACAGACAUGUGGUACGUAUUUGUAUUACAGAAUGUAACUUAAAAAUCUUCAUUUUGUUUGUCAUUCCUUGUUUCA